GAACUCCUGGGUGUGGUGGUGCGCACCUGUAGUCCCAGCAACUCUGGCAGGCUGAGGCAGGAGAAUCGCUUGAACUCAGGAGGCGGAGGUUGCAGUGAGCCGAGAUUACGCCACUACACUCCAGCCUGGAGACAAAGUAAGACUCCAUCUCAGGAAAAAAAAAAUUUAAAUUAAAAAGUUCUAGUAUCUAAAAUGAGCAAAAUCGCCAGGCGCGGUGGGUCACACUUGUAAUCCCAGCACUUUGGGAUGCAGAAGUGGGUGGACCAGCCGAAGUCAGAGGUUGAGACCAGCCUGCACUGAGCGAUUCUCCCGCCUAAGCCCGGCAAGUAGCGGAGACUACAAGUGCGUGCCACCAUGCCCAGCUAAUUUUUUGUAUUUUUGUAGAGACAGGCUUCCACCAUGUUGCCCAAACUAGUCUGGAAUUCCUGAGCUCAAGUGAUCCACCCGCUUCCGCCUCCGCCUCCCAAAAUGCUGGGAUUACGGGCGUGAGCCACCGGGCCUGGCCCAAUUACUUUCUUCAGUCUGAGCAUGAGCGCUGGAAGAAAAGCUCUCACUUGCAUAUAAUUUUUUAGAGACAGAGUCUCCCUCUGUUACACAGGCUGGAGUGCAAUGGCGCAAUCUCAGCUCACUGUAACAUCAACCUCCAGUGCUCGAUCGCUUAUAUAAUCUCAGCUCACUGUAAUCUCAACCUCCCGGGCUCGAUCGCAUAUAUAUACACACAUAUAUUUGUUUGUUUAGACGGAGUCUUGGUCUGUUGCCCAGGCUGGAGUGCAGUGGCGCGAUCUCCGCUCACUGCAACCUCCGCAUCCCGGGUUCAAACAAUUCUCUGCCUCAGCCUCCCGGGUAGCUGGGAUUACAGGCACCAGCCACCACGCCCGACUAAUUUUUGUGUUUUUAGUAGAGACGGGGUUUCAGUGAAACCAUGCUGGCCAGGCUGGUUUUGAACUCCUGUCCUCGUGAUCCACCUGCCUCGACCUCCCAAAGUGCUGGGAUUACAGGCGUGGGCCACCUCGCCCAGCCGACUGCUUAUAUUUUUAAAAAGAUGUUUUCUUCAUUUCCUAGCCCCUUCUACCCCGCUACAAAGUUUCAAAGACUUAAUGCUAUUACAAAGGGCCGUCAGAGGUCAAGCUCAGGGGUGCAGCUCCCUCAUGCCAGGCAGCCUCAGAGGGGGCCGACCCUACCCAGGAUGAGCGGCGCCAGGUAGCCGGGGACGCUCCCGGGGAUCCCCGGGCCCUGGCUGGGGGAGGCGUUGUGGGGCGCACGUACCCAGGCUCAGAUGAGGCGAGUGGGCGGCCGGGGCUGC
rnacentral:lncRNA from 1 species